UACGUAGGGUGCGAGCGUUGUCCGGAAUUAUUGGGCGUAAAGGGCUCGUAGGCGGUUUGUCGCGUCGGGAGUGAAAACCUUGGGCUUAACUCAGGGCUUGCUUUCGAUACGGGCAGACUAGAGGUAUGCAGGGGAGAACGGAAUUCCUGGUGUAGCGGUGAAAUGCGCAGAUAUCAGGAGGAACACCGGUGGCGAAGGCGGGACUCUGGGCCGAUACUGACGCUGAGGAGCGAAAGCGUGGGGAGCAAACAGG
rnacentral:rRNA from 1 species